rnacentral:rRNA from 1 species
GACGAACGCUGGCGGCGUGCUUAACACAUGCAAGUCGAGCGGAAAGGCCCUUUCGGGGGUACUCGAGCGGCGAACGGGUGAGUAACACGUGAGUAAUCUGCACUGGACUCUGGGAUAGCCACCGGAAACGGUGAUUAAUACCGGAUAUGACACCUUGCUGCAUGGUGGGGUGUGGAAAGUUUUUUCGGUCCAGGAUGGGCUCGGGGCCUAUCAGCUGGUUGGGGAGGUAAUGGCUCACCAAGGCUUUGACGGGUAGCCGGCCUGGGAGGGUGACCGGUCACACUGGGACUGUGACACGGCCCAGGCUCCUACGGGAGGCAGCAAGGGGGGAUAUUGGACAAUGGGCGGAAGCCUGAUCCAGCAACUCCGCGUGAGGGAUGACGGCCUUCGGGUUGUAAACCUCUUUCAGUACCGACGAAGCGAAAGUGACGGUAGGUACAGAAGAAGGACCGACCAACUACGUGCCAGCCGCCGCUGUAA